CUUUAAGUGAAAGGAAUAUGUUGGGUCAACAAUAUUGGGAAUAUUCGCCUUAAAUAAGAAAGUAAAAGGAACACCAUACGUUUUUGUUGCCUGACUGAAGAAAUGACUGAAUAGAAGAAGUCAGCCGCCAGCUGCUGUCGAAGUUCUCGCUGAUCCUGUCUGAGGUCCUGCAGAAGAGAGAUGAAAUGUCAGAUGGGUCCAAUGAUGGCCACAGACAGCUCAAGACUGACAAGAAAGGGGGAAGAGAGAGGGGGGAUGACACGCAGCUCAUGGCCACUGCAGCUGCAGCAAGGACUUCAGCCCCGACACACAGGGUGCCAGCUCCACCGGGUGAGCCACCCGGGCGACCUGGUUUCAAGGUUUAAGGUCUGGGUACAGUUUUGUCCUGAUGUUAUUUAGAUGAAGACAAAUCAUAACUACCUGGAGACCAGACCCUCCAAACGUUACAUUGAUUGUAGGAGGCUCCAGAUAGUGUGUCUGAGCAGGAAAAUCUGGCACUAUUUAUAAUGACAGUAUAUGAUGUAGAGGUUUUCCAACAUGGGUUAUUCUGAAUUUCAAAUCUUUGAGAUGAAUUUUCUGGUUGGAACCUACUUUACGUAUUACAUUUUAUACAUUCAGAAGCUUGUAUCUCAUUUCUAUUUACAUUGUAAAUAUAUCCUGUUUUAUACCCGAACAUUCAUUUUUUAUCUAAUGAAUCUAAUCUCGUUAAGGAAGGUAAUCAUAUUAAAUGAACAGAAGAAGAAAUUUAGAUGUGUCACUCACCAUCUUCCUUAUGCAAAUUGU